AAGGCGCUAGUAAAACAGUCAUUACACUGCCUUGUCGAGGCAGAUUUGUGGGUUGAAGCCCCACGUGCCUUAA
rnacentral:tRNA from 1 species